GGCGCACGGGUGAGUAACGCGUAGAUAACCUGUCUUCACGUCUGGAAUAAUACGCCGAAAGGGGUACUAAUACCGGAUAUUCUUGCUUUUCAUAAGUUUUGCAAGGAAAGGUGGCCUCUGUAUAUGCUACUGCGAGAAGAGGGGUCUGCGUACCAUUAGCUAGUAGGUGGGGUAAUGGCCUACCUAGGCAACGAUGGUUAGCGGGUCUGAGAGGAUGAU
rnacentral:rRNA from 1 species